rnacentral:rRNA from 1 species
UUCUGUAGCCAUAACACCCUGAAAUCAUAUGAUCUUGUUAGAUCUCAGAAGCUAAGUGGGGAUAGACAAGGUAGCGUUUGAGUAGGAAAAUAAAUUGUGUCAUGUCAAAAG